rnacentral:rRNA from 1 species
GUAGGGAAUCUUCCGCAAUGGGCGAAAGCCUGACGGAGCAACGCCGCGUGAGUGAUGAAGGUUUUCGGAUCGUAAAGCUCUGUUGCCAGGGAAGAACGUCGGAUAGAGUAACUGCUAUCCGAGUGACGGUACCUGAGAAGAAAGCCCCGGCUAACUACGUGCCAGCAGCCGCGGUAAUACGUAGGGGGCAAGCGUUGUCCGGAAUUAUUGGGCGUAAAGCGCGCGCAGGCGGUCACUUAAGUCUGGUGUUUAAGGCUAGGGCUCAACUCUAGUUCGCACUGGAAACUGGGUGACUUGAGUGCAGAAGAGGAAAGUGGAAUUCCACGUGUAGCGGUGAAAUGCGUAGAGAUGUGGAGGAACACCAGUGGCGAAGGCGACUUUCUGGGCUGUAACUGACGCUGAGGCGCGAAAGCGUGGGGAGCAAACAGGAUUAGAUACCCUAGUAGUCC